GGCAGGUGGAAUAUUUGACUUUACAGAUAAAGGAAAGCCUGCAAAUCACUUUUGCUAUCUGUUAUGCUGAGACCAGCUUCUUCCUCCAGCAGUCCAGCCUAGAGGUGUCUAAAAGAGUGAAUGUACGUUUUCUGACUUAUUUUGUUGCAUAAGCUCUCCAGAAGGAAUGUUUCUAUAUGGAAAUUUAAAGCAUAACAGCUUUGCUGGAACAAUUUAAAGAAACCUCUGGAGUCAAGAGCGGUGAUGGAGACAGUUAUUUGCUGAUUUCAACCAGUGGCCCUGAUUUGCCUGUAGACAUCGCGGUACAUCCCACGCGUAGAUCCACUACCUCCUGGAUGCUGAAUAUGUCUGCGGCCUGGCCAGAUGCGUUGUGGAGCUGAUUUCUCUCCCUCCCUUAUCCAUGUCCUUGUGGGUCAUGAGAUACUACCAUAGAUUUUGCAGUCUUUUCCAACGACAAUUCCCACUGAUGCCAAUGGCAAUUUUGUCCAGUCAGAGACUGGGAUCAGCCUCUGGUAAAAAAAUAAUUCAGUGAUCAGACAUCUACGAUGAAAGCCCUUUAUAAAGCACUGACAUUUGAAGCGUAAAGUAUUGUGGUGACAUUGUGUAGCAGCAGUCUGCUCUA